ACUGUCAACCGGGUCCGGGGAUCGGGGCCUGUCGGGCGGAUCCCGACUGCCAUCCCCCUCCGGCAGCGCUAGGCCGUGCCGCGGGGAGAUCCAAGUUCACUGCUAGAAUCUUGGAUCUAUUAAGUCCACCAAGCCAUGAUGAACAAUGAUCCCCAAAGCUGCCUGCAUGUUGAAGAGUGCCACAUACUGACCCAAGGGGCAGCUCUUACCCCUGGCAGUGGUUGGAGCACACACCUCUGCAAGCAGAGACCACCAGACCUGCUGGCUGGGAAUGAGUGGCAGCCGAACAGUGAGAGGCACUAGUGAAUACCUGAGCACGUGGUGCUGCGCCUUUCGCCUGCUGUCUGCUCCUGCUUGCUUGUGGUUGUUUGGCUUGUUGAAGGAAAUAAAUGACUAAAAGCUGUUU